rnacentral:misc_RNA from 1 species
AAUAGAGAAAGAGUAUGGGAAAGGAACAGAAAGAAUUAUCUCUUUUUGAUUGAACUUGAUCUUGACGAUCUACGUCUACAUAUCUUUUUCUCCACCAUUUUCUACUUUACCUGUCCAUACAGUCCCCAACCAAAUGUUAGCAGUGCCCCCGCAUCUGUAACUGCUGCACUAUGACGCCCUCCACAAGCAAUUCCCUUCACAUAGUUUCCAGGAACUCUACUACCCUGACCCUCCAUGUUUGCACUUCCUCGAGCAAGAGAUGUAGGUCUAUCUUUGCCAAACGAAGAUGACUCGAUGCAAGGUAUAGGAUGUGGGGAGGAAACCAUACGUAUGCG